CCCUGGUGGCUCUGACAGUAAAGAAUCUGCCUGCAAUGCAGGAGACCCGGGUUCGAUCCCUGGGUCAGGAA
rfam:TPA: Bos taurus chromosome 10, whole genome shotgun sequence.